rnacentral:rRNA from 1 species
AUUGAACGCUGGCGGAAUGCUUUACACAUGCAAGUCGAACGGCAGCACGGACUUCGGUCUGGUGGCGAGUGGCGAACGGGUGAGUAAUGUAUCGGAACGUGCCCAGUCGUGGGGGAUAACGUAGUGAAAAUUACGCUAAUACCGCAUACGAUCUAUGGAUGAAAGCGGGGGAUCGCAAGACCUCGCGCGAUUGGAGCGGCCGAUAUCAGAUUAGGUAGUUGGUGGGGUAAAGGCCCACCAAGCCAACGAUCUGUAGCUGGUCUGAGAGGACGAACAGCCAAACUGGAACUGAGACACGGGCCAGACUCCUACGGGAGGCAGCAGUGGGGAAUUUUGGACAAUGGGCGAAAGCCUGAUCCAGCCAUUCCGCGUGCAGGAUGAAGGCCCUCGGGUUGUAAACUGCUUUUGUACAGAACGAAAAGGUUUCUACUAAUACUAGGAGCUCAUGACGGUACUGUAAGAAUAAGCACCGGCUAACUACGUGCCAGCAGCCGCAGUAA